GGCCCAAGUAUGCAAAGGUGACUCUGCACACACAAAUUUGGAGCAUCUGGAGCCUAGAUCCAUGAGUUCUGUACCGGUCAGCCACAUGGAUGUUGCCCCAGAGAGGAGACAGUUUGGCAUUUUCCAGGUGGUUGGAGAUGCUGGACGUGAAUGCAAAGUGGAAGUGCCAAGUAAUUCUGCACCAGCUGCCAAUUCUCAGCCAUCCCGCUCUGUUAAUGAAGCUGCAGGUCAUAUGCAGGAGAAAACAUCUGUGGGCAGCAUGGAGAAAGGCUUCUGUAGCACAAAUGGUAGGAAAUUUGAGAUAAAUCUGGAAGACGAGUAUAAAGAUGAAGAGGCAUCUGAAACGAGUGGAAGUGCAGCUACGGAACCGACACGGAAGGAGCUCAAUAAUGAUGUGUCGAACCACCUGAAACGUCCACGUUCAGUGGACACUGUGAUGCAAUAUGCUGACUCUGGAGUUAAUCGAGCAACUCGACUUUUUAACGAUAAUGACCAAGUUGAAGAGGCACACCAUGACAAAAAGUUGAAGACUAGUAUUGGUGGGUCUUAUGGUAAUAGCGAGCAAACUAGUUCCAGUGAUGAUUUUUUGUCACGGAUGCGUGGUUCCUCUUAUGGACCCUACCUUCCGGAUACUGGGUAUGAUGAAGUUCUGAGUAAGGCACCUGUUCCGGAGUGCACAGAGAGUGCUGAAAGAUAUUUCUUCCCUGUUGAUCCAAAUCCUGGUAAGGCUAGCUCGACGCCUUGGCAAAUGCAUCAUCCAGACAAUGAUCGGCUUAGUGAUAGAGUCCCGAAUCUUGAGCUAGCAUUAGGUGGUGAGUCAAAUUCACAGACUCGGGGAAUCCCACCCUUUUUAGUUGGGAAA
rnacentral:misc_RNA from 1 species